ensembl:lincRNA Gm4221 uncharacterized LOC110285197
GCAGACUUCAGAGUCGCCGUGAUCACAUGGCCUCCCUCCAUCCUGCGUUACCUGGACUAUGCAGCAUCAUGGUAGUCAAUGUUUCUGGUUUUGAGUUUUCCGUCUCCAUAAGCUCUCACAAUGCCAAACUGCACUGUCUCAUGAAGAACCACUUGGAAUCCCCCUGAGGUCCAGAAAACACGUCUGACAUCAGCUGCCAGGUCCAUCUUGUGUUUGCAGUCCAAGGUCAGUCUACAGCAGAAGCAAGAGGCAUUCCCUUGAUGGCACAAAGGACUAAGAUGGGAGAACUUGCAAACAAGGAAGAGCAAGAAGAUUCCUAUUUAUCUCCUAAUCUCCACCCUGAGUCCUGCUCUCCUAAGUGUCCCUUUCACAGACCUGUACCUGACCUACUUUCAAGCCUGGGUUUCCCUCCUUGAUUAAGCUACUCUCGAUAUACCCUCCUACAUCUCCUAGGCAAUUCCAAACCCCAUCGACUUGACAACCAAGAUUGGUCAGCAAAGAUAGUAAAUUAUAUGCUGUGUUUACUUUAACACUGUACUAUUCUGUCUUGGUUUUGUACAUGGGAAAAACCUAUUUUCUUUGAAGGUUUGAAGACUGUCUCAUGUUUUAUUCUUUUUGUAUGUGAGUACACUGUCACUGUCUUCAGGCACACCGAAAGAGGGCACCAGAUCCCAUUACAGAUGGUUGUGAGCUACCAUGUGGUUGCUGGGAAUUGAACUCAGGACCUCUGGAAGAGCAGUCAGUGCUCUUAACUGCUGAGCCUUCUCUCCAGCCCCCUUCCUAUGCUUUAUAGCAGGUUUUCACGGAAAUGAUGCUUUUAGCAUAUGAAGUAACCUAGAGGGAGAGCAUGCACUGGCUCCUUCUUGUAGUUUUACAUUUCAGAUUUAUCAAGCUACUUGAUGAAAACUCAGAAGUCAGUAGUGAAUUCACUUACUUCAGGGGACAGAGGAUGUAAGAGCUUAAGAACACAGGAUUCUUCUUUCUCCCUACUAAUUAAAUACGUUAUUGAGUAAGUACAAUACCAACAAAAUGCAUUCAAAUUUUCUCUUAAAAAAAAUCACUUUUAAAGGCCUUUCUAGUCAGGCUAAUGACAAACACAAUAAAGGCAGAUAUGCUAGUUGAACAUAAUUGGCUGAUUUUAUACAGCUCUUAUAUCUUUUACUCCACAAGUAUAUCAUUAAAUGAUAGAGAACUUCUAAUACAUCGAAUACAACUAUUUCUACAUAACUAGCCAAUGAAUUUCU